rnacentral:rRNA from 1 species
AGGACGAACGCUGGCGGCGUGCUUAACACAUGCAAGUCGAGCGGAAAGGCCCUUCGGGGUACUCGAGCGGCGAACGGGUGAGUAACACGUGAGUAAUCUGCCCCUAGCUCUGGGAUAGCUCCGGGAAACCGGGAUUAAUACCAGAUACGACCACUUUAGACAUCUGCUGUGGUGGAAAGAAUUUCGGCUAGGGAUGAGCUCGCGGCCUAUCAGCUUGUUGGUGAGGUAACGGCUCACCAAGGCGACGACGGGUAGCCGGCCUGAGAGGGCGACCGGCCACACUGGGACUGAGACACGGCCCAGACUCCUACGGGAGGCAGCAGUGGGGAAUAUUGCGCAAUGGGCGAAAGCCUGACGCAGCGACGCCGCGUGGGGAUGAAGGCCUUCGGGUUGUAACCCCUUUCAGCAGGGACGAAGCGAAGUGACGGUACCUGCAGAAGAAGCGCCGGCUAACUACGUGCCAGCAGCCGC